GGGCGCUACCCAGGCAGGUUUAAGAGCAAGUCACACUUGGUCUGGUACCGCCUGAGCACCACACCCCCUGGGGGUACAGGUUGCUGUGGGCAGCCCCAUUCCAAGGAGCUCCCCUCUCCACCCCUCGGGGCUGGGGCCCCUGCAGACUUCCAGCCUGCAGCCAACUGCCACCCAUCCCUGGACCUACCUCGCACAGGACGAUUCCAAAGGAAAACACAUCCACCUUCUCAUCGUAGCUGCGGCCUGGAUGAAGAGAUCAGCUGUCAGCAGGUGAGGCUGGAUCAGGAGGCAGAGGCCACCGACCUCCGUGGGACCGAGGCUUAGGCUCUGCCCACCACCCCCACCAGGUCUGAGCAAACCUUUGAGAGGUAAGGAUGAGAGCUCUGGGCAGGGGGCGGUUCCAGGCCCAGCUUGGCCACUGACCAGCUGUGUGACUCUAGGCAAGUCAUGGACCACAUGGUGGCCCUGGAAAGCAUCCGUGUCAAACCCCUGGGAUGUGUGAAAAUUACUUUAUUGGAAAAAAGGUCUUUGCAGAUAUCAUUAAGGAUCUCGAGAUGAGAUAAUCCUGGAUUAUCUAGACGGGCUCUAAGCACCACUGCAAGUGUCCUAAGAGAGAGUGAGGAGGAAGAGACACAGGAUUGGCAGUGGCCCCAUGCCUGGGAAUGCCAGGACAGCCACUAGGAGCUAGAAGCAGCAAGGGUUCUCCCCUACAAUUCCUGGAAGAAGCAUGGCUCUCCUGGACUUCAGACUUCUGGAUUCCAGAACUAUGAGAGAAUACGUUUCUAUGGUUUUAAAGCACCUGGUUUGUGGCAAUCUGUUGACAGCAGCGCCAUGGACUGACACAGACUCCCUGAGCCUCAUGCUCUUCAGCUGUGAAAUGGGGAGACUGCAGGACGUUAAACACGACCAGGACAUCUAGUCUCACGUAGCAGAUUCCAACUGGUUUACACACUGUAGCUGAUCCUCACGGCCCCCCUGAGAGCUUCCAGAAGGAACUUGGCCCAGCCAACACCUGACUUCAGGCCGGUGAGACGGACGCUGUACUCCCCACUCCUACUAGAACUAGAUGGUAAUUUGUUUUUUUAAGCCAAGUGGGUGGUGAUAUGUUACAGCUGAUGGGAGACGGACGAGUCACAGGACCCAAGGAGGGUGCGGAGCGGAGGAGGUGGAGGCCAGGGAUGGGGGCCCCUGCAGCCCUGCCGGCCCACUCACCAUUGAUCAUCUCAGGCGCCAUCCAGUAUGGGUUGCCCACUACCGUGUAUCGCUUCUUGCGAUCUGACUUCUUGAUGCUUCGAAGGCCUCCGGGCUGUGUCUUCUCUUCCACCAUGAGCCGUGCCAGCCCAAAGUCAGCCACCACCACGUUCUUGUUCUGUGGAGACAAGAAAGCAGGGGCCACAUUGAGACAGGCUCCUGGUGCCACCUGCCCACUCCACUCCUCAUCAGAUGCUCAACGGAUGCCCUCUGUUGUGGGGUGGAAACUGGGAUAGGCCACCCUCUCCUCACCCCUGGCACACCACCCUGGCUCAGCCCUGCAGUGACACCCAUCGCCAGCAGGAGCAGCCUGACAGGCUCCUCGGAGGAGGGAGACAGGGGAUCCAGCCUCGCCCACCUCUCUGUGCUCACAGCCCACUGCUCUCUGAAGCCUACGUGCCCCCACAGCCUCCUGGAAGUUCCCAUCAACCCUGCCAACUCUACAGUGACCAACUCAUUGCUUCCUGAAUGUCAUACUGAUUGGCCUUUGCAUGUGCUUUUCCUAUCACCUCAAACACUUCUUGUACUGAUUUCAUUUGGCAAACGCCUGCCUGGAGAACUUCUUCAUCCAGGACUGGAUCUCAACCUGCCUGUAGUGUGAUGAAUAGUCUCCUCCUCCAAAUUCACGUCCGAGAAUCUCGAAGUGACUGUAUUUGGAGACAGGAUUUUGCAGAUGCUACCAGUUAAGAUGAGGUUAUACGAGAUCAGGGUGGGUCCUAAAUCCAGUGCCUGAUGUCUUUAUAAGAAGAGGAUGCACAGACACACGGAGUGAAGACUCAGGCACAGGCUGGAAUCAUGUGGCUGCUGGCCAAGGAACGCCAAGGAGCGCUGGCGCCUCCAGAAGCUGAGAGAGAAGCACGGGACAGAUUCUCCCUCUGAGCCUCUAAGAGCCAACCUUAUCAACACCUUGGUUUGGGACUUUCUGUUUCCUAAACCCUCCGAAUACAUUUCAAUUGUUCCAA